ACCAAAUUGCCAUAUUCGGCUAGUCCCGUUUGCCUGCAUUUGACCCAUAUCUCUCUAAACCCUUACCGUCCAUAUAUCUGUCCAAAUGUCUUGAAAAUCGCAAUUGUAUCCAUUUCUAUAGCUACCUCUGGCAGCUCAUUCCAGAUAUGGACUGCCGUCCGAGUGAAAAAUUUGCAUCUCACUUCCCCUUAAAUCUCUCCUCCCUCACAUUUUAGAACCAUUUUACCCUGGAAAAAAGGCGGUGAGUGUUCACUUUAUCCAUGCCCCUCAUGAUCUUGUACACCUCAAUAAGGUCACCCCCUCAACCUCCUACUCUCCAAAGAGAAAACUCCCAGCCGUUCCAGCUUCUCCUUAUAACUCAAGCCCACAAGCCCAGGUUGCAUCCUGUGGAACGUCCUCUGCACCCUUUCCCACUUGAUGGCAUUCCUCCUAUAGCUGGGCGACCAGACCUUCCUGCAAACGACCCGGUCACCAGACGAGUACAAGCGCUGGACUCACAAGAGCUGAAGUGGCCGUGAUUCAGCAUAGUUGAGACGACCAGGUGUGUACAACCCACAACAGCCAUCUGGGGAGUGACUAGCUCUGUUCAAAUAACCCUUCGACCGUUACUAUUUCCCAAACAGUCAUCCAUUUUGUGUCCUAAAAAUCAUUCUUGAUCAGUAAGGGUGUCAGGGGCUAUGGGGAGAAGGCGGGUGAAUGGGGGUCAAGAGGGAAAGAUGGAUCAGCCGUGAUUGAAUAACAGAGUAGUCUCGAUGGGCCGAAUGGCCUAAUUCUGCUCCCACGACUUACGAACUUAUCAAAGUAUCCCGCUGUUCCUUGCCCCGACAAACCUCAGCGUCUCACCCUGGCCACCCCCUCCCUUCAUUCCAUUCUUAAACCAAAGAAUGCCACAUGAGACGAGGGUGUGGAGCAGGCAGUGGCUGCCGCUGGGGAAAGAUUACUGUGCCGCAGGAGAAUGAAGCAGAUUCCUGUUGUGACAAAAACUACCCACCCUUCACUGAACGUUCUGCACUGAAUACCUUUCCCGUUGGUCACUGAGCCAACCGGUGGCUUGCCUCCACAUGCCUUUGUAAACAAGGGAGCCGGAAAAUAUAUUAAAAAGAAAAAUCAGAACUCUCCGAUGUCAUUGAGAUUUCCUGCAUCUGCAGCUCCUCGAUCUUCACUGGACGAGUGCAGUAAACGAGGUUGAAAUUCAGGAAAUGGGGAAGAACAAGGCAAUGAAGUGGUUUGAAAAUAAGGAUGGAAAUAUGAAAACCAAGGCAUUGUUUAACCAGGAGCCGAUGUGCAUCUCCAAGGUCAGAGCUGCUGAGAUCAAGGAUGACGUCUUAAUUCCAGCUCUGUGGGUUCUGGAGCCAAUGUGGAAAUCACAGCCUCUUCCACAGAUGGGGCAAGCAUGUUGAGGGACCCAUCUAUCUCCUGUUCUCAUCUCGCUGCUACCAUGGGUAGGAAGGUAUUGGAGUCUGAAAACCGCGACCACCAAGUUCAUGAAUGCUACAUCUCAACAACCAUCGGAGUUUUGAACACGACACAACACCAACUGAACUGUGAACAAUGAACUGCUUUUAGUUCAACUAUGCACUUUGGACCUUUUUGCACUAGUAUUAGGAUCAUUAACUUAUUGAUUCGUUUUUGUUUAUUGUAUUAUCUGUGAGCAUUGUUUAACAGGCCUGUUAUGCUGCUGCAAGUAAUCAUUUCAUAGUUCUGUUGUCGGUACAUAUAACAAUUAUACACACUCGGCUCCUGCUCUCGCCACCUCUCCUCUCAUAAAGGGCAAGGGUCAGGUUGGCCAUCCUCACCUUACAACCCACUCCCCACCCACAAAGUCCACCCACUUCUAAAUAACGUCACGACCAGGCAAACCGUCUCUCUCCCCCUACCACACAACUCCAACUUGUGCCGUUUCUGCAGUCUCCUCAUUCCACAACCUGCAACAGUACAGCACAGGAACGGGCCCUUUGGCCCACAAUGUCCGUGCUGAACACGAUAUCAAGUUAAGCGAAUCUCCUCUGCCUGCAUAUGAUGCAUAUCCCACCAUUGUCUGCAUAUCCAUCAAAGGUCAUCAACCCUGAAGCACUAACUGUUUCUCCCUCCACAGACUCUGCCUUGUGUGCUGCACAUUUGCCAUUUGUAUUUCACCAUAACCAGAAGAGGUAGAAGCUUAUGCUGACCGAUUCAGAGGAGACGAGCAGACGGAUCAAGUGGAGCGUAAAGGUCAGCAAAGAGUUGCUGGUUGUGCUCAUGCCAUUUCCCUACUUAAUGUGGCAAUCUCGUCUCAGAAACUGUCGAGUGCAAGUGCUUACUCCGCUGCUUUUAUCUGUCUUGCCCUACGAUUUAGGAGAAUUAACGGCACACUGCAGGCAGCCUCAUUGAACGCAUUUCUGCUGUCAGAUGCAGAUCAGCGUUUAAACAUGGCGCUACAAAUGAAGCAUCCGUUUAAUGAAGACUUUGAGGAAACAACACAAUUGCUGCUGCAAGUGAUGCGGCAGCGGUGCAUGCCCGAGGCGAGCAGAACCAGCUGCAUUCACCACCGAGGGCAAGGUUCCAUCAAACAAUUUCCUGACUCACAGACAUAUACAAGGGCAAGCUCGUCUCAGCUUGGUGCCCAGCCUGAAGGAGCCAAGGGCAUUAUCCGGGAUCAGUUCCCUGGGAAUUGUCAGUCGGUUCAGAGGACUCAGUCUCAGGCUUCGGGACUCGAUACCAAAUGAGAUCAGUCUCAUGCUCAGCAAUGCUGUCGGUCACACUGAAUUGAAAGGAACCAGUGUGGGUGCCUCAGCAACCCAGGCAUACAGUAGUCCAAUGCCCUGCAUUGCUGGUGGACCGACUCUGUUGACAUUUCUUGCCUCUUAGAUGAAAAUAAAUGAUUUCCUUUCUUAAACCGUAGUGCUAACAGCAUGUUGAAUGAAUGACAGGAAACCCACAUAUGGACAAAGUAUGAGAUGGAGAAUGCUGGAUUGAAGCGAGGAAGCAGGGACCAGUGUAGGUGAGGAAAGAAACAGGGUGUAACCAAGGAAGACGCUAACUAGGACAGAGACAAGAGGCUCCACAGCUAUACACGAGAGUGCCAGCUGAAUGGUGGCAUCAAGGUCUGGUUCGUUAACUCGAGCACAGAAAUAAAGGAUCUUACAGAGAGUGGUGGAGCCGGCCCGCUCUCUCACAGGUACUGACCUCACCAUCAUCGAAAAGAUCUACAGGAUGCAUUGCCUCAAAAAGGCAGCCGAAUAUAAUCAAGGAUCCGCACCACCCUGGCCACUCUCUCAUCUCACUGCUACCAUCAGGAAGAAGGUACAGGAGCCUGAAAACUGUGAUCUCCAGGUUCUUCCCAGCAACCAUCAGGCUCUUGAACACUGCACGACACUAACCUCAGCUACUGUGAUCUUCUAUGUACUUUGGUUUUGUGCUCUUAUCGUUACCCAAUAUUAUAGUUAUUAAUUUAUUGUAGUAUCGAUUAUUGUAUAUUUAUCUAUGCUUGGUGCGUUAACAGGUCUGUAAAAUGGCAGCAAGGAAGAAUUUCAUUGUCAUACGGCAAUUAAACGCUUUUGAUUCAUGAGCCACUAUUCAAAGCCUGUCCUCCAAAGAAACAGGAACAUCCUUUGCUUCAAGCCACAGUCUUGCCAACAUCACAGAGGACUGGUCAGGCAUUGAAGGAACUGGGAUUUAAUGAUGUUGAUUGUGAAGUGUAAGACAUGCCCAGGGUACAGACACAGAGCAGCUGACAAAGUGUGUGAACAGCGCAGUGUUCACCUGUGCACGAGGCACCAAGUGAGAACAGGUACUGAAGGCCAGAGGAGCUGCAAAAUCUCAUGAAUAUUAAUUCAACAAAAUAUUUACUGCUUGUUUCUCGCAUUUUGACCUCAGCUGAGCUGUAAUAACAACAGGAAAAGACAAAGUGCUGGAGUAACUCAGCGGGUCAGGCAGCAUCUCUGGAGAACAUGGACAGUGGACAUUUCAGUUCAGGAUCCUUCUUCAGUCUGGAGGGCCUGCUUCCUUGGUGUACGGCUCUUUAGAGUUACAGCAACAUUGGGAUAAACAGUCGUGAGUGUAGAGGGGGUAUAGUAGGGCUGGGAAUGCAUCCUUGUGGAGUACAGGUGUUGGGAAUUGUCGAGGAGGAGGAUUUGUCACCUAUCCUCAUUUGUCGGAAGUAAAGGAUCUUGAUGCAGGAGUGUCCAGGAGUUUAGAGAUGUUUAGUUGGGUUUGUGGUGUUGAAAGUGGAGCUACAGUCAAUAACUAGGAGUCUAUCGUAAAUGCCCUUGUUACUCAAAUGAGCAGGGAUGAGUGUAGGGCUAUGGAGGUGGCAUCUGUCACUUACUGCAUCCAUAUGCCAUUCUUUGAUGUAUCCACCUCUCACUUGGCAGGCUUUGGCCCACCCCAACUUUCUUUCCAGGUCUCUCGUCCCCACUCCAUCAGACUGAAGAAGUGCUUCGACCUGAAACAUCAUCUGUCUGUUCCCUCCACCGAUGCUACCUGACCCACUGAGUUUGUCCAGCACUUUGUUUCUUUGCUGAAGUUUCCAGCAUCUGAAGUCUCUUGUGACUACCAUCAAACACUGUAGUUCAGUGAUCUGAUGUUUCUUUGUAUUUGGGUUUCCGUAGCUUCCGUAUGCCCCAAACAUAGCAAAAAACACGAAUAAAAUGUAGCCGUGUACCACAUGAUAUAUGAGGCGGGAUGAACAAAAGCUUGGUUGAAUAUCUAGUUUGAGAAGAUCAAGGAGGAACGGAGGUGUUGAUGGAUGACGAAGUUUAGGGAGGCAAUUACAGCGUUUAGGAUCUUGGCAGGGAACGGCAUGCAAGCACAACCCUCUGCUCUCAAUCAUGUAUACACAACCCAUUCUGAGGUGCAGCACCACAUCUUGAUUAAUGUGCCGAGAUUUCAUGUGAACACAGAAUCUUUCCUUAAUUCCAUAUGACCAGACUUGGAAAAUAGUUUGGGAAGUCUGCAGACCCAGUACAAGAUCUCCACUAAUCAGUGGACCGCAGUUAUAGUACAGGGCUUUGACACUGUGGGCUCUGCAACCUAUUUAGGAAAGCACCAAUAUAACUCAAUGAAAGUUAAGAUAUUUAAUUAGAGCCAUUCGACCCACCUUGUCCAUGCCAACCAAGUUAGCAUACUGGGCUAGUCCCAUUUGCCUGCAUUGAGC